UUUUUUUUUAACUUUAUGAUAUCUUAACCUCAUUUGGUGGGAGGUGAGCCUCAUAUGGUGGCCCACUAUGGUCAGCUUGUUUGAUGAAGUCAAGUGGUAUCAAUACAUGUUUUUUUUUUCCCAAUUCAUUAAGUUCACGUGUAAGCCCGAAAAUAGAAGCUAGGCAUGUAUGAGGGAGAGGGAGGGUGUUAGAGAGAGAGAGAGAGAGGUGGGAGGUGAGCCUCAUAUGGUGGCCCACUAUGGUCACCUUGUUUGAUGAAGUCAAGUGGUAUCAAUACAUGUUUUUUUUCCCAAUUUAUUAAGUUCACAUGUAAGCCCGAAAAUAGAAGCUACACAUGUACGAGGGAGUGGGAGGGUGUUAGAGAGAGAGAGAGAGUAAUCAAACAUA
rnacentral:lncRNA from 1 species